GUAUAUGCAGACAUUGUAGUUUUGAUUUACCCAUGUGACCCUAGAGCAACAUCCUUUUUGUUUUUGGAAAGGUUUUUAGGUUUAGGGUUGAUGUUAGGACUGGGGUUGGGGCUUAAGCAACAUUCAUACCAACUUAUCACUCCCCUCUAAUUUUAAAGCUAGUUAGUGGUUAGAUUUGGGGAUAAUAUUUGUUUGAGAGAAAUGUUUUUUUUUUUUUUUUUUUUUUUUUUUUUUUUUUUUUUUUUUUUUUUUUUGCUUUUUUUUUAGUUUUUUAAAAAGGCUACAGUGCAUUUAAAAACAUUCAAUUUUUUUUUUUUUUUUCUUUAUACUUUUGAAGAAAGCCGUUCGGACUGAUUCCUUUGCUGUGCAGCUGCGGGCAGUGGAUGUGUCUACUGGUGAGGCAGGAACAACUACUCUCUCUGUGAUUGUAGUACCAUCAGUGGGGGACCAGUCGCCCGACGAGGGGUACCGUGCAGGAGACAUGGCUUUGCUGGGCUUUGUAAUGGCUGCGUUACUGGUGCUCUGCCUCAUUGUGAUUGGCUAUCUGAUAUCCCGUGUCAAGAAGGGGAAUCCUGAUGCAUUCAAGUCUGAGUGUUUAGGGCCAUGCUUGAAGUUUACUCAGCCUCCUAACAGGCCAAGUCCAAGAGAUAGCAUGCAGUUCACCAAUGAUGGUUUCUUGAAUGAAGGGGACACAGGGAGAUCCAGAUCCAGGCGAGCUGAACUGAGAGAAAGGAGACUGGAUUCAGUUCAAGCAGCGAGGGUGCGAGUGAUACCUCGCGAGAGACAGAGGCACUGCAGCUCCUGUGGACUCCAGACGCAUACCAACCAUUCUCACCAUAGUCCUGCCGUCCAAACCAGAGGAAAGGUGAAUAAGCAUAAAGUAAAAUCCAUUCUGGCUAAAGAGAGGAGGAAGGAUGACGGUCACAAGACCGUUUGGUUCAAGGAGAGCGAGGAUUCUUCCGAUAUCGAGGUGGAGAUCAUCCCUGACACUAUAGGGCUUAAGCCAGAAGAGGACAUGGAGAAAGUCGAAGGGGAUUUUGCGUCCCCUCCACCAGAAGACAGUGAGAUGGAACUGGGGGAGUUGACAAUGCUGAAUUUGCAGGACUUGAGUAGCAGAGAAAUGGCAAUUUCUGAUAGUAGAGAAGGACUGAACACAGAAAGAAGAGAUCAGUGAGGAUCUCAGAAGCUCUUGCCCAGUAAAACUAGAGCUCUUUGCUCAUCAGAGACUGGAUUCGGUUUUAUUUAUUUUUUUAUUUUUCUCUAGUUCAGUUUGGCUGAAAUAAUUUAUAUUUGUGAAAAUAAAACCGGGUUCUGUUCAGACA
ensembl:lncRNA